rnacentral:rRNA from 1 species
AGCGAACGCUGGCGGCAGGCUUAACACAUGCAAGUCGAACGGGCACUUCGGUGCUAGUGGCAGACGGGUGAGUAACACGUGGGAACGUACCUUUCGGUUCGGAAUAAUUCAGGGAAACUUGGACUAAUACCGGAUACGCCCUUCGGGGGAAAGAUUUAUCGCCGAUAGAUCGGCCCGCGUCUGAUUAGCUAGUUGGUGAGGUAAUGGCUCACCAAGGCGACGAUCAGUAGCUGGUCUGAGAGGAUGAUCAGCCACAUUGGGACUGAUACACGGCCCAAACUCCUACGGGAGGCAGCAGUGGGGAAUAUUGGACAAUGGGCGCAAGCCUGAUCCAGCCAUGCCGCGUGAGUGAUGAAGGCCUUAGGGUUGUAAAGCUCUUUUGGCCGGGAAGAUAAUGACUGUACCGGAAGAAUAAGCCCCGGCUAACUUCGUGCCAGCCGCCGCUGUAAAAC